rnacentral:tmRNA from 1 species
GGGGGCGUAAAGGUUUCGACAGGGAGUGUGAGCUUCGGCAAGCGAGCAGCGGCACUGCAGAACCGCUAUAAAAUCCGCAGAUUUAAAAUUAAACGACAAAACUAAAACUGUCGCUCUUGCUGCUUAAUUAGCAAGCGUUCCUGUUGAGAACACCACGGCUCUUCAGGGGCGUCGAUAAGUGGUGAACGUGAACAGAGGUGAGUCUUGCCCUCUGUCAUGACUUAAAGGCUACCGAAACAUGAUGCCUGCCGUUGGGCGUUAUGUCGGGGGAAUCCUCAUACAUCGGCUACGCUCGUAGAAACCGCUGUGAGUGCUUUUUGGACAGGGGUUCAAUUCCCCUCGCCUCCACCA